rnacentral:sRNA from 1 species
GUGUGCGGUCCGGCGUUGGUGGGUUAUCAUUCACUCCUCCCUUCGGGGGAUUUCCCAUUGGCACAAACUCGACCGUAUU